rnacentral:rRNA from 1 species
UACGUAGGGCGCAAGCGUUGUCCGGAAUUAUUGGGCGUAAAGAGCUCGUAGGCGGCUUGUCACGUCGGGUGUGAAAGCCCGGGGCUUAACCCCGGGUCUGCAUUCGAUACGGGCUAGCUAGAGUGUGGUAGGGGAGAUCGGAAUUCCUGGUGUAGCGGUGAAAUGCGCAGAUAUCAGGAGGAACACCGGUGGCGAAGGCGGUUCUCUGGGCAUGACCUGACGCUGAGGAGCGAAAGUGUGGGGAGCGAACAGG